rnacentral:rRNA from 1 species
GAGUUUGAUCAUGGCUCAGAUUGAACGCUGGCGGCAUGCCUUACACAUGCAAGUCGAACGGCAGCACGGGAGCUUGCUCCUGGUGGCGAGUGGCGAACGGGUGAGUAAUGCAUCGGAACGUAUCCUGGAGUGGGGGAUAACGUAGCGAAAGUUACGCUAAUACCGCAUAUUCUGUGAGCAGGAAUGCGGGGGACCUUCGGGCCUCGCGCUCUUGGAGCGGCCGAUGUCGGAUUAGCUAGUUGGUGAGGUAAAGGCUCACCAAGGCGACGAUCCGUAGCAGGUCUGAGAGGAUGAUCUGCCACACUGGAACUGAGACACGGUCCAGACUCCUACGGGAGGCAGCAGUGGGGAAUUUUGGACAAUGGGGGCAACCCUGAUCCAGCCAUGCCGCGUGAGUGAAGAAGGCCUUCGGUU